AUGUUUUGAAAUACUCGUAGAUUCCAAUCGAUUUAUUUAUUUACCAUUCAAGCUUUCUAAGGUCAAUUUUGUAAAAUUUGGAUUUUUCCACAUUUUUGAACCAAAGAUUUAAAAAAAAUCAUCAAAAAUCGAAAAAUACAUUCAAACUAAUGAAAUCUGGCUAAUGACAAUUCUCUCCUUCAGAUAAGUAAAGUACUUCUGAAAUUUUUGUUGAAAUUGGUCAAACAGUUGUGGAAAAAUUCAAGAAUUCAAUUUUGUUGAAUUAAUUACCAUGUAGGUAGGUGAGGUACCUAUAGGAUCAUUUUCAUACUCGUGGUGCAUGUUUAUGUUGAAUAGGUAUCUACGCGUUUAGAGCUGAUAUCGAAUAAAUACAGGUGGUAUAGCAAGUAAAUGCAUACGUAGAUAGUAGAUAGGUACCUACCUAAAUCAUGUGAGAUUUACGGUAUUAUUAACAAUCGAAAAAUAUGGACUCGAGGCGGCCGAUCAAAGCGAAGUAUUUUUCACACAAGACAACCGCUCAUUCAUUUCAAAAAUAAAAUAAUAGAUAACAUUAUACUCAGUUGAAUAAAUAUCCUUCAGUACUUCGUUCUGACCAAUUAUUAUCAUUCUUUUUCCAAAAAUUCAACAUGCACGUUACUUACUUGAUUAGUUUUGCGGUUAUGGCGAUUUUAAGCACAAGUCUAAUGGUGAUGGCUGUGCCAAAGCCUAUCGAUGAAACUGUGUUGGGUUCAUUAGCUGGUGGUGGAAUAGGUAAAUGAAGACGGUCAACGCAGGAUUUGAGGAUUGCUCGUAAAGAUACCGAUAUUUAUAAUAUGUAUUUAUCAAGUAUAGACUACCUACUUAAUUAAGUAUUUUUCGAACUACCUACCUGCCUAAAUUAUGCAAUAAAAAGUGUGCACAUAA